rnacentral:rRNA from 1 species
AGAGUUUGAUCCUGGCUCAGAUUGAACGCUGGCGGAAUGCUUUACACAUGCAAGUCGAACGGUAGAGGGGGCAACCCCUCGAGAGUGGCGAACGGGUGAGUAAUAUAUCGGAACGUGCCCAGUCGUGGGGGAUAACGUAGCGAAAGUUACGCUAAUACCGCAUACGAUCUACGGAUGAAGGCGGGGGAUCGCAAGACCUCGCGCGAUUGGAGCGGCCGAUAUCAGAUUAGGUAGUUGGUGGGGUAAAGGCUCACCAAGCCAACGAUCUGUAGCUGGUCUGAGAGGACGACCAGCCACACUGGAACUGAGACACGGUCCAGACUCCUACGGGAGGCAGCAGUGGGGAAUUUUGGACAAUGGACGCAAGUCUGAUCCAGCCAUUCCGCGUGCAGGAUGAAGGCCCUCGGGUUGUAAACUGCUUUUGUACGGAACGAAAAGGUCUCUCUUAAUACGGGGGGCUCAUGACGGUACCGUAAGAAUAAGCACCGGCUAACUACGUGCCAGCAGCCGCGGUAAUACGUAGGGUGCAAGCGUUAAUCGGAAUUACUGGGCGUAAAGCGUGCGCAGGCGGUUAUGUAAGACAGAGGUGAAAUCCCCGGGCUCAACCUGGGAACUGCCUUUGUGACUGCAUAGCUAGAGUACGGUAGAGGGGGAUGGAAUUCCGCGUGUAGCAGUGAAAUGCGUAGAUAUGCGGAGGAACACCGAUGGCGAANGCAAUCCCCUGGACCUGUACUGACGCUCAUGCACGAAAGCGUGGGGAGCAAACAGGAUUAGAUACCCUGGUAGUCCACGCCCUAAACGAUGUCAACUGGUUGUUGGGUCUUCACUGACUCAGUAACGAAGCUAACGCGUGAAGUUGACCGCCUGGGGAGUACGGCCGCAAGGUUGAAACUCAAAGGAAUUGACGGG